ACAGUGGACGCGAGCAUCUUUGUUGUAAGUGUUUAAGAGCGUACGGUGGAUGCCUUGGCACCAGGAGCCGAUGAAGGACGUAGGAGGCUGCGAUAAGCCUCGGGGAGCUGUCAACCGAGCUGAGAUCCGAGGAUGUCCGAAUGGGGAAACCCAGCCACAGUGAUGUGUGGUUACCCGCGCCUGAAUAUAUAGGGCGUGUGGAGGGAACGUGGGGAAGUGAAACAUCUCAGUACCCACAGGAAGAGAAAACAACAUGUGAUUCCGUGAGUAGUGGCGAGCGAAAGCGGAAGAGGCUAAACCAUGGGUGUGUGAUAGCCGGCGGGCGUUGCAUUCGUGGGGUUGUGGGAUCCGUCUUGUCAAUUCUGCCGGAUUGGCCGACAGUGAGAAAUCAUCGUGUUAGUCGAAGUGGUCUGGAACGGCCUGUCGUAGAGGGUGAGAGUCCCGUAGACGAAAACAUGGUGACUGUCGUGACGGACACCCGAGUAGCAGCGGGCCCGUGAAAUCUGCUGUGAAUCUGUCGGGACCACCCGAUAAGCCUGAAUACUCCCUGGUGACCGAUAGCGGACUAGUACCGUGAGGGAAAGGUGAAAAGUACCCCGGGAGGGGAGUGAAAUAGUACCUGAAACCGUGCGCUUACAAUCCGUCAGAGCCUGCGCCACUUUGGUGGGUGGGUGAUGGCGUGCCUUUUGAAGAAUGAGCCUGCGAGUUAGCGGCAUGUCGCGAGGUUAACCCGUGUGGGGUAGCCGUAGCGAAAGCGAGUCCGAAUAGGGCGUUUGUAGUGGCAUGUUCUAGACCCGAAGCGGAGUGAUCUACCCAUGGCCAGGGUGAAGCGACGGUAAGACGUCGUGGAGGCCCGAACCCACUUAGGUUGAAAACUGAGGGGAUGAGCUGUGGGUAGGGGUGAAAGGCCAAUCAAACUCCGUGAUAGCUGGUUCUCCCCGAAAUGCAUUUAGGUGCAGCGUCGCGUGUUUCACUCUGGAGGUAGAGCUACUGGAUGGCCGAUGGGCCCCACAAGGUUACUGACGUCAGCCAAACUCCGAAUGCCAGAGUGUGAGAGCGCGGCAGUGAGACUGCGGGGGAUAAGCUUCGUAGUCGAGAGGGAAACAGCCCAGAUCGCCGGCUAAGGCCCCUAAGCGUGUACUAAGUGGAAAAGGAUGUGGGGUCGCGAAGACAACCAGGAGGUUGGCUUAGAAGCAGCCACCCUUGAAAGAGUGCGUAAUAGCUCACUGGUCAAGUGAUCCUGCGCCGACAAUGUAGCGGGGCUCAAGUACACCGCCGAAGCCGCGGCAUUCACAUAACACCCAUGCGGGUCUACGGGCCUGUGUGCAGUGGUGUGGAUGGGUAGGGGAGCGUCGUGCAGCCAUGGAAGCGCCGGAGUGAUCCAGGUGUGGAGGCUGCACGAGUGAGAAUGCAGGCAUGAGUAGCGAAAGACGAGUGAGAAACUCGUCCGCCGAAUGACCAAGGGUUCCUGGGCCAGGUUAAUCCGCCCAGGGUGAGUCGGGACCUAAGGCGAGGCCGACAGGCGUAGUCGAUGGACAACGGGUUGAUAUUCCCGUACCCGUGUGAACGCGCCCCUGGUGAAUCAGUGAUGCUAAGCGCCCUGAAGCCGCCUUCGAACCUUCGGGUUCUCCGGUGUGUGGAUGCGCGUGAACCGAUCUGGUAGUAGCCAAGCGAUGGGGUGACGCAGGAAGGUAGCUGAGCCAGUCAGUGGUAAUACUGGUGUAAGCGUGUAGGGCGUGACCUAGGCAAAUCCGGGUCACAUACAGCCUGAGACGUGAUGCGUAGCCGAUUGAGGCGAAUUCAGUGAUCCUAUGCUGCCGAGAAAAGCCUCUAGCGAGCUUUCACACGGCCCGUACCCCAAACCGACACAGGUGGUCAGGUAGAGAAUACUAAGGCGAUCGAGAUAACUGUGGUUAAGGAACUCGGCAAAAUGCCCCCGUAACUUCGGGAGAAGGGGGGCCUCGUCUGGUGACGGAACUUGCUUCCUGAGCUGGGUGGGGCCGCAGAGACCAGAGAGAAGCGACUGUUUACUAAAAACACAGGUCCGUGCGAAGUCGUAAGACGAUGUAUACGGACUGACGCCUGCCCGUGCUGGAAGGUUAAGAGGACCGGUUAGCCAGUAAUGGCGAAGCUGAGAAUUUAAGCCCCAGUAAACGGCGGUGGUAACUAUAACCAUCCUAAGGUAGCGAAAUUCCUUGUCGGGUAAGUUCCGACCUGCACGAAUGGCGUAACGACUUCUCUGCUGUCUCAACCACAGACUCGGCGAAAUUGCAUUACGAGUAAAGAUGCUCGUUACGCGCGGCAGGACGAAAAGACCCCGGGACCUUCACUAUAGCUUGGUAUUGGUGUUCGGUUCGGUUUGUGUAGGAUAGGUGGGAGACUGUGAAGCGGGCACGCCAGUGUUCGUGGAGUCGUUGUUGAAAUACCACUCUGAUCGUAUUGGACAUCUAACCUCGGACCAUGAUCUGGUUCAGGGACAGUGCCUGGUGGGUAGUUUAACUGGGGCGGUUGCCUCCCAAAAUGUAACGGAGGCGCCCAAAGGUUCCCUCAGCCUGGUUGGCAAUCAGGUGUCGAGUGCAAGUGCACAAGGGAGCUUGACUGUGAGACUGACA
rnacentral:rRNA from 1 species